CCAGCUUGCUGGGUGGAUUAGUGGCGAACGGGUGAGUAACACGUGAGUAACCUGCCCCUGACUCUGGGAUAAGCGUUGGAAACGACGUCUAAUACUGGAUAUGACUGCCGGCCGCAUGGUCUGGUGGUGGAAAGAUUUUUUGGUUGGGGAUGGACUCGCGGCCUAUCAGCUUGUUGGUGAGGUAAUGGCUCACCAAGGCGACGACGGGUAGCCGGCCUGAGAGGGUGACCGGCCACACUGGGACUGAGACACGGCCCAGACUCCUACGGGAGGCAGCAGUGGGGAAUAUUGCACAAUGGGCGAAAGCCUGAUGCAGCAACGCCGCGUGAGGGAUGACGGCCUUCGGGUUGUAAACCUCUUUUAGUAGGGAAGAAGGGAGCUUGCUCUUGACGGUACCUGCAGAAAAAGCACCGGCUAACUACGUGCCAGCAGCCGCGGUAAUACGUAGGGUGCAAGCGUUGUCCGGAAUUAUUGGGCGUAAAGAGCUCGUAGGCGGUUUGUCGCGUCUGCUGUGAAAUCCCGAGGCUCAACCUCGGGCUUGCAGUGGGUACGGGCAGACUAGAGUGCGGUAGGGGAGAUUGGAAUUCCUGGUGUAGCGGUGGAAUGCGCAGAUAUCAGGAGGAACACCGAUGGCGAAGGCAGAUCUCUGGGCCGUAACUGACGCUGAGGAGCGAAAGCAUGGGGAGCGAACAGGAUUAGAUACCCUGGUAGUCCAUGCCGUAAACGUUGGGC
rnacentral:rRNA from 1 species